rnacentral:rRNA from 1 species
UAUCUCUGUAGAGUCUGCAUAUCAAUAAGCGGAGGAAAAGAAACUAACUAAGGAUUCCCUCAGUAACGGCGAGUGAAGCGGGAAGAGCUCAAAUUUGAAAUCUUCAAGGUUCUACCUUGACGAAUUGUAGUUUAAAGAAGUGUUUUCUGUUGGAGUUUUGGUAAAAGUUCUUUGGAAUAGGACAUCAUAGAGGGUGAGAAUCCCGUAUUUGACCAUUAUUUCCAGCUUUGUGAUACACUUUCAAAGAGUCGGAUUGUUUGGGAAUGCAGUCCAAAAUGGGUGGUAAAUUUCAUCUAAAGCUAAAUAUUGGCGAGAGACCGAUAGCGAACAAGUACCGUGAGGGAAAGAUGAAAAGAACUUUGAAAAGAGAGUUAAACAGUACGUGAAAUUGUCAAAAGGGAAGCGUUUGACACCAGUGUUGUUUUCUCGAAAAUCAAUUAAAAAAUGGCGGGAUUUUGUGUUGUAUUGACUUUAUCAGCUUUCUGCACUCUUUUCUUGUCUUUUUUAAUGCACUUUUCGUUUAACAAGUCAACAUCAAUUUCUUUUGUUGUAAAAGGGUCAUUGGAAGGUGGCUUUCUUUUCGGAGAAAGUGUUUAUAGCCUUUGGCCUCUGCAAUCGGAGAGAUUGAGGUCUGCAGCGUAGAUCCUUCGGGGUUAGAUACAUUUGUGCUAAGUUAUAGCCUUUCAUAGACAACUUGUUGACUAUGUUUAGUCAUGUGGCUUACCCGCUGGCGCUAUUUUACCUACGCUUAGGAUGUUGAGUCAUCACACAUCUCU